rnacentral:rRNA from 1 species
UACGAAGGGGGCUAGCGUUGCUCGGAAUGACUGGGCGUAAAGGGCGCGUAGGCGGAUGGCUUUGUCGGGCGUGAAAUUCCAGGGCUCAACCUUGGGACUGCGUUCGAGACGGGUUGUCUAGAGUUUGGAAGAGGGUCGUGGAAUUCCCAGUGUAGAGGUGAAAUUCGUAGAUAUUGGGAAGAACACCGGUGGCGAAGGCGGCGACCUGGUCCUUGACUGACGCUGAUGCGCGAAAGCGUGGGGAGCAAACAGG